rnacentral:lncRNA from 1 species
GGCUGCGGGUCGCUAGCCCGUGCUGCAGGGUGGGCGAGCCCCUUUAUGCCCCGCUGCCCUUGGUGGCGCACCCUGGCUAGGCUAGCCUGCUCAGUUCGCAGGCACUCAGCCGCGGGUGAUAGCGCGCAGCCCCAUAAAUCAUGCUUACUGCCGCCCGGUAGGGAUUUUAUGAAUGAAAAGGCAGCCUGGCCGCCCUCGUGCUUAGGCUAAGGCUCCCAGGCUUGGCGGGGCCUGUGGCCAGAGCAAGCGUGGGCACUCUGCCCGGGCCACCCACCACCUUCGGAGCUACAGUGGAAUCACUGUCCCGAAGGGUCCGGACUUUAGGGACCCCAAUGUCGGGGGAGGGGGAGCGGAAGGCAUGAGCUCGGAAGGUGAGGGGUUUGCGUCUUGUGUGCCGCCUGGACGCUGUGCGCUCCUUUACCAGUUUCUUCUGGGACACGAAAGUAUUCCGUGGGAAAUGUGUGUGAAUAGUUCGCCUAGCUUGAAGUCGGGUAUUGUGAAAACGUUUCCAAAACUAGGGAACUAAAUAAUGGACGAAGGUGGUGGAACCGCUUUAUUCUAAAAAUAUUUUAUUUGAAUCUAUAAAUUAUAAACUUAGGAGUCCAUUCAGUUAACCACGACCAUCUAUAGAUUCUCUUUAAAUAUCACCUUAUCGGCUCACAAGUUUAUCUUGAUUCUCACCAGCCGCCCCCCCCCUCCCCCAACUCAAGACUGCAAUUCUAAAGGUGGAGAAACACCACCACCCUCAACGAAGCCAAUCAAGAAGCUUCCGGUGGUCUGGUUCCUGGAAGGGCGACUAAUAACUUGCAGCGAUUUACUUUUCUUAAUUAAAAAAUAAAUUAGGAAGGAGCC